GUAGUUGGAUUUCUCGGUGGGAGCGGCCGGUCCGCCGCAAGGUGUGUUCUUGGUUGUCUCCUGUCAUCCUUGUGGGAACUGCUCUGGCAUUAAGUUGUCGGGGUUAGGGAACACAUCGUUUACUGUGAAAAAAUUAGAGUGUUUAAAGCAGGCUUAUGCCGUUGAAUACAUUAGCAUGGAAUAAUAAGAUAGGACUUUGGCGUCUAUUUUGUUGGUUUGCACACCAAGGUAAUGAUUAAUAGGGAUAGUUGGGGGUAUUCGUAUUUAAUUGUCAGAGGUGAAAUUCUUGGAUUUAUGAAAGACGAACUUCUGCGAAAGCAUUUACCAUAGAUGUUUUCAUUAAUCAAGAACGAAAGUUAGGGGAUCGAAGAUGAUUAGAUACCAUCGUAGUCUUAACCAUAAACUAUGCCGACUAGGGAUUGGUGGUCGUUCAUUUAUGACUCCGUCAGCACCUUAUGAGAAAUCAAAGACUUUGGGUUCCGGGGGGAGUAUGGUCGCAAGGCUGUAACUUAAAGGAAUUGACGGAAG
rnacentral:rRNA from 1 species